CCUGGUAAAAACUCUAAAUCUCAGAAUGCACAGUAUUAUGACUUUUCAAGAAAAACCCCUGGGAAGGAAUAGUCACAGGUGAAAACUCCCAGACUCCCAUGACACUUUAAUGUCAUGGGAGUCUGGGAGUUCCAUGUAUUGUUUAUUGCCUGCUGCUAACACUUACUCACCACUAGAUGCCGCCAAGAGCCUCCGGUGCCGAGGGUAGCGGGUGUUACCAAUUACCAUCAGCUGGAGGAGAAUAAGAAGAUGAAGCUGUCAGCACUCCAGUGCCUGAGUGUUUCCCUUUGUGGUAACUUUCAAGUCCUGGUCUCAAGCUCCUGCUACUUUCUAGUUCUGGCUCCAAGGUUCUGUUUGAAUCCUGCCUCAGUCAAAGAACUCAAGCCUCCAAGAAACCUUUGUGGAUCAAGUUCCAGCUGACAGCUCAAAUCCUUCAUCUCCUAAAUCUUCAGGCAAGUGAACCCUGCUCACCCUCGACCAAGAACACCACAAGAACUCUCAACCAAGCCUCAAGAAGCUCCACCUGGUGUGCUCCUUCGCAUGUGAACUUGUGAAUGGGACUUGUGAAUUGGAUCCAUAACCAAAUCUGUAAUAAUAAAUCUUUUCAAUUUUUCUCCUGUGUGUGGAUGUCUGACUUCGCUGGCCGAGUUAGACUACUUCUUCAAAGAACCUUUGAACCCAAAAACUUUAGUAGGGUCUGUUGUGCAUCUGACGACUGUAUCCCAACCGGAAAUAAGACCAUUACAUUUCUGUCUGAGCUUCUGCAGAAAAAGAAUCUGAACCAUCUCUAAUUAGAUGACAAAGUGCCUUCCCCUUCAUUGCCAUUGGGAGAAGAAGGCAUAGGACCCACAUCAUCGCAUGCCUUCCUGUGUGAGUCUGAGGCCAGUCCGAGGAGCAGAUUUUCACCCCAGGCAGCUGAAAAGAGAGCCACCACCCGCCAAGCAAGCCCCUCGGACUUCCUGUCCUCCUCUUCACCCGGAUUAUUAAGUUGUGAACGUGAUCUCAUUGACAGUACACUGGUGGAGAAACUUGGAAUCAGAGCCGAGGCCUUAGACGGGAAGGAACUGCCUCACAUAACACAUCGCACUGAACAUUUGCAACUUGUGCUCUCAGUCCGCUGUUCCCCCAACCUCCACACCGACAUCGCCUGAGGAGACUGAAUCCACUAACCAUUUGGAGGUUCCACCUGAGUAUCAUGAUCCACGCCAAGUGUUCAGUAAACAGCAAGCCCUUUCUCU